rnacentral:lncRNA from 1 species
AGAGUUUUGAUAUGCUGGGCGAAUAAGGUGAGCGAUUCCGUGAGCGCCAUUUCUUAAUCAACCUUUUUUAUUAUUUUUUCUAAUUCUCUUAUCUUUCUCCUCUCUCUCUCUUUCUUUUUUUUUAUUAUUUUUUUCCAUUCUCAUAUCUUUUUCCUCUCUCUCUCCUUCUCCUUUCUCUGCAACUUACCCAAUUGUUUUUCCCAACUCUCUCACGUCUAUUAUUCUUUCUCCAUUUUUUUUUUGUAUCAGUAAAGUAAAAUUUUUAUUGAAAGAAAAUGAAUCAAGGCAUCAGGAAUGCCAAUCAGAACAACAAAACAAGUUUGAAGUCUUUGGAACACCAAGACGUCUAUUAUUCUUUCUCCAUGUCUUUGCAAAUCUCUUUUUUUUCUUCUUGAUUUUUGUUUCCUUGCUCCCAAUUGUCUCUCCAUCAGACCUCUAUACGUGAAUUCAGAUCAUUCCAUUUUUUACGUGGAUGUCAAAUUAAAUAUGAAUUAACAUCAACGAAAAUUAAUAAUGAGAUGAUUGAAUUCUUUGUGUGCUCUCUUCUCUCAUACUUUCGAAGCAGUUGAAAUUAUCCAAAUUUGCAAAGUAAGAGAAUCAAGCAACCAUUUUUGUUU